GACCCAACAUCAGUCGAUCAGUUUCUCCCACACGGUGUAGUAGCUGCCUACUAGUCGAAUCAGUGAACUUGAUUCGAUUUUACGUUUUGGCCUUCUAAUAGAUACCCAUAGCAGCAGCGACUUUUGCCUAGAAUUUCUCGUUGGCUCCUAAUGCCUCACUUAUGCAAUUCGCUGUUGCGUGAGUGCUGCUGUGCCCUGUGCUGUGCGGAACGCCGACAAUAGGCACGCCGAUCGGAUUUUUUCGCCGACCGCUGAUUAGAUACACCGGCCCUUCCAUUUCCUAUACUCGGCGAAACUUAAUUAAGGAGGUGCCAGAGACGACAAGAUGAUGGCUACAGCGGCUGUCAAACGGGCUUGGCUCAAUGCGAACCAUCACCACCACCAGCAAUUGGUCAAUGUUAGCAGCUUGGAUGGAGACUCGAGACCUUACUGGCAGCAGCAGCAACAGCAGCCACCGCAGCAGUGGACCCCACCGCCAGAUCCUCAUUAUCGGCCCGUCAAUGCGGCUUAUUCUCGACACCAUUCUCCAUCGCCCGGCGUCGAGGUCUGCGAACAAGGCCACAACGCCCUAAAAGUGCGGACGGCCGAUUGUGGUCCGCAUCUCGUCAGUUUAGGCAGCGGUCGGCUCAGCACCAACAUCACCCUCAUUCACUUGCCAGAAGGUCGGAUACUGAUGGGCUGCGGUGGGAGCUACGUCCAGCGCCAACCGGACGUUCACGUCCAAGGGACUGGCGUCGAACCAAUUCACUGCUACAUUGAAAAUAUCAACGGCACCGUCAGUCUCUAUCCGCUUGGCGAGAUGACUUCUGUGGACGGACUGCCCGUCGCUACGCCUAUUCGUCUAACUCAAGGUUCUAUGAUUUGUGUCGGGAGAUCGAAUUAUUUUCGCUUCAAUCAUCCGGAAGAGGCCGAACGGAUGAAGACGAUCCUGCCGAACGCGCGGAUUUCAUCCGUGCCCAUGAAUUUCGCCAAUGCUUCGUCAAUUUCUGGCAUCACCAGUGCGCCAUCAGCAGCUUCCCCUGAGCCUCCGGGCAUGGACAACCCGGAGUAUUUCCACAUGCCUGGCUUGAAUGGCCAUCACCAUCCGCACAGUAAUGGCAAUAGCGCUUUCCAGCCGGUGCGCAGCAGUAGUCCACAAUACAUCGGCGAGUACCUGCAUCCGCGGAUGUUGUCGCAUUUCGAUCACGACGACGACGACGACUACGAAGUGUCCGUUCCAACCUCACCGCAGCAGCAGUCCAGGUGGCAUUCCGCCUCGCCUAAAGUCUUCCUGCCCAAUUCGUCGACCGUCUCAUUACCGGCGAGUGCCGUUCUGGGCCUGCGCGGCCGCUCUGCUACACCGACGGCCGUCCCUACGUGCAACCCGACAUCUGCAGAGGCUCACAGUGCACACAAGAGGUCGCAUUCCGUCGGUGCCAGUCACAGUUUAAACUUGCAGCAGCAGCAGCAACAACAACAACAGCAGCCCAAGCCAAUUUUGAGGCAAGAACGAAGUCUCGAAGCUCUGGCCGCCUGCGAAGAACAACUGGAGGAACGUCGCCGCAAGGCUCAAGAAGAUCGUGUGAAAGAACAAGAGCAAGAAAGGGAGGAACGCGCUCGGCUUGACGAGAUUUUACAAAUGUGCGCCGAGUACCAAAGGCAAAUCGAUGAUGAGCAGCGACAUUCCCGCGACGCCUUCACCCUUUCCGACACUCGGCCCGACAGUCCCUCCUACAGCAAACAGCUGAGCCAUUCGGCAGCGUCCGGCAAACCUCCGCCAUCACCUGGGCAUAGUCUCCACCCAAACAGGAUUAAGACUAACGGUUCACUGCCACGUAAUGAAACGAGACGAUCGGUUCAGUCGCCCAAUGGCACCACCUCAGCCGGACGCAAUUUGAACACAUCCGAAGACGAAUUGAGUGGCAUUUUUACCUUUGACCCCACACCGAAUUCUGUGCCAGCCAGUCCAUCUCUUUCGAACCAUCAACAACAGACGGUGGCGGCUGAUCUGGCGGUCAGCUGCAAGAGUCCGUACGAAAACGUCUGUAUGCCGCAGAGUCCACGAACGCGCAUCCGCACAACAGUUGGCAAGAAUAAAGAAGAUAGUCCCGAAAGCCUGUCAACCAACCAGCAUACUUACCAGCUCAUCACCUCCGGUGUUGCGGCCGAGGUGGCCAAGAGGGAAGCUGGUCGCUUGGAGAAAGAAUGCCAGCAAAUCAUGUGCAUCAUUUCGGCUUUGAAGAAUCACGUCACGGACGUCGAGCAUCAAAUUGACGAAGCCAUUCGAGAGGCCGAAAUGGAGCGCGCCCUGCUGCAAGGAGAGUUGACGGCGCAACUGGAAAAGAUUCUACAGGACGAGAAAUGGAUUGAACAGCUGGAACAGAAGGACCAAAAGUUGGCUGCCGAAUUGGAUGAGUUCAGAUUCGAGGAAGGCGCCAAAAUCCAAACUUCCAAAUCCAAAAUGGAAGCCAUUGAGCUAGAAUUAAACCAAUUGGAAGAAGAAUGUGAUGCAUUCAGUGGGUCAACGGACGAAGAGACAGCUUUGUUGGAAAAAAUAAAAUUCCAACACGAGCUACUUGACACGGAGCGGAAGUCGUUCGAGGAUCUAGAAUUCCGACUGAUGGAAGGCGUGGCUCAUCGGGAAGCUGAACGCGAAGAAUUGCACAAAGAAAUGGCCGGCGUUGAACUGCGUCUGCUUCAACGACGACAGCAGCUAAGGGAAGUGGAGCAGCAGCAACGACAGGCGUCGGACUCGGCCCGGAGCGAAGCACAAGAGUUAGCCAAUAAGCGGAAAGAAUUGUUUCAACAAAUUGAAGAGGAAAAAUCAAAAUUAGUAGCGUUGCAAAGUAAGCUGGAACAGCUGUUUAGAGCCGGACUGGCCGGUGGGCAUUACGACAAUGGAGCCGAAGCUUCGUCUGACACUGAAGAGAGUGUGACGGAUAUCGAGCAAAGGCUACAAGAACUACGGCAAAUGGGCCACUCUCAAGAGGAUUUGGAUCGAAUCGAACGAAUUGCUAGCCAGAACCGGGCGCUGAACAACACAGACGAUCAGAGUCGCAAGGCGACGGCGACAUUGAUGGAGAUUGAACGUAAUCGUCAACUGAUCCUUGUCCAGCAAGGCGCCCAAGUGCUGGAAUACGAACGAAAGAAAGUAGCCGAGCUUAAACGACGCGUUCAAGACCAGGUGCGAGCCCAGUGGGAAGAAAGGAGAUCAGUGGAGCAGCAACAGCAGCCGGUCGAUCGAGAAGUCAACUGCCACAGUCUGAACAGUGUUGGAAGUAGUGAAGAAUCUCGUUCAAGUUUGACGGGAAGCGACGCCCCCACCGAGAGCGAUGACGUUCCAGCUAAACCGGGCGGUCCUGAUCGUGGCAGCAACGGCAGCACUGCGUCGGCACCGAGCGCUUCCAUCACCAGCAUCUUGGAGGUCAAGGUACGACAACACGACUUCCAUCAGCCAUUGGAAGAUUGCCGGCCAUUGUCAGAAGCAUCUUCUUUUGGCGGUGAGGAACUACCCGGCGAAGUCCGUUUGAGGGACAAACAAAGGGCACAACAAGUCCAACAACAACAACAACAACAGCGGCCACUAACGCGUUAUCUGCCGGUCCGCGGGGAUGGUUUUGACCUACGCCAGCAUGUCGAAACGGCAGGGCACCAGGUGGAACUCUGUCCGCACGUCACUCUUACCUCGACUUCAGCCCGUGGUUACCUGCACAAAAUGGGCUCACGUUUCAAGACGUGGAACAAACGCUGGUUUGUCUUCGACCGGACGCAGCGCACUUUUCUCUAUUUUACCGACAAGAGCGAGACGCGCAAGCGUAGUGGCGCCUACUUCCAGGCAAUCGAAGAAGUUUACGUCGACCACUUACAAUCGGUACGUUCGCCCAAUCCCAAAUUGACGUUUUGCGUCAAAACGCGCGAAAGGACCUAUCAUUUAAUGGCUCCGAGUGCUGAGGCCAUGCGCAUCUGGGUUGAUGUUAUCUUCACCGGAGCUGAAGGCUAUCAGCAAUUUCACGUUUGAGGUCGUUUUUCCGACGACAAUCGUUUUUGUUGGAGCAAAGUAAAACACAAAACAAUGGAAACAUUGAUGAUGAAAUUACGUCGAAGCCAAUAGUUGUAUAAAAGUAUUCAUUUUAUGAAGAAGACGAAAAUCAACCACACAUGUUCCUAUUUGACGUUGAUUUGAAUAAGGGAAUCAUCUGAAAUCCCUUAACUUUUAUUUCGCCUUUUUAAAAUGCAAAGCCAAUCACGUCAUUGGAAUCUUGUUUUUUUACGAAACAAAGCCAGAUAACUUUAUUUUGCUGUCUGUGAGGGGAAUUGAUUGGAUUCCUAGUCGAUUAUGAUUUGGGAGUGUUUUAAUCUUUCGUGUUUUUUAUUUUAAUUAUGUAUCGCCCUAAUAUUCCUUUUUUUAUUUUGUGGUGUGUGUGCGUGUGGCCGUGACGGCUCCCACUUGUGUCAGGUCGUCUACUUGACCGGUAGAAGAAACAGCAACAAAACGAAUGUCGCUUACAAACGGCACGUCUCGUUCAAUACACAGUUGUAGCAGUCACGCUCACCGGCUGUUUGUGAUGCUACACAAAUAUGUUAAAUUCCGAUUGGACCAAAGUAGAAAUCGACCAAAUUAGAAAUUGUUUGAAAUUGUGCAGGAGAAAUCACCCGCCAUAUUUUAGCACACUACAAUCUUCGUAUUUUUCUAAAAAAUUUUCCAAUAAAUAUUAAUUGCUUUUCAUUUAAAAAUAUUGAAAGCGUUGUAUUAUAAGAUUGUCUUUACGUUUUUACUUCUUCGUUUCUGUUAUAUUUUGCACUAAAGACUGGUAUAUGAAGACUCAUUUUUAGUUUAUACGAAUUACGAUUUACGAAGGGUAUCUGCACGUUUUUUUUCCGUUUUAUUAGGCCUACACUACUUUUUUUACUAUCAAGUAUGAAGUAUCAAGGUGCAUCGGGAAAUACUGCUUAGUGUUAAGUCUUUUUUCUCGAAAAUAGAUGGCGGGAUUAUAUUAUGUUUUCUGUUAGUCGUCUGCUUUUCUUCAUUUGGAGUUUUGGACUUUCGGACAUAAAGAGUGGUUAUGACAUACGUUUCUGUGUCUUUUCUUGCAAUUUAUUGAAUAUUUAGUAUUGAGAUCGUGGUUUCCAUAAUAUUGAACGAAAAUAUUACUUUUGUGAUGUGAUUUAUUCCGUAUACAAGGAGCCUACCAUCGCUACCACCAAAUCUUUUAUUUAAACUCGUCGUUCUGCUGAAUGCAUCAUCCAGUUAAUACAGUUUCUAUUGAUCUUGGUAGGUCACUACCUCAGCGUGGACAUGUUUGUUUUUCUGAACAUUUUUUUCAAAAAAUAAUGCAGUGAUGUAGCCUACAAGGAAAGCUAUGAAAAAUAUCGUAUCAUCUAGGCCAAGGGUAAUCUUCAGGUUUGUUGCAGCAGCUUAAGAGAAGAAUGUGUUGUAUUUUUCUGAAUGUUAAACAUGAGCAGUAGGUAGCCAUUAACUUUAGUUUAUUGGAUGAAUGUUGGAAUAUUUAUUGACAUAUUUCCUUUAGAUU
rnacentral:misc_RNA from 1 species